rnacentral:rRNA from 1 species
AUUGAACGCUGGCGGCAUGCUUUACACAUGCAAGUCGAACGGCAGCGCGGGCUUCGGCCUGGCGGCGAGUGGCGAACGGGUGAGUAAUACAUCGGAACGUGCCCAGUAGUGGGGGAUAGCUCGGCGAAAGCCGGAUUAAUACCGCAUACGACCUGAGGGUGAAAGCGGGGGAUCUUCGGACCUCGCGCUAUUGGAGCGGCCGAUGGCAGAUUAGCUAGUUGGUGGGGUAAAGGCCUACCAAGGCGACGAUCUGUAGCUGGUCUGAGGACGACCAGCCACACUGGGACUGAGACACGGCCCAGACUCCUACGGGAGGCAGCAGUGGGGAAUUUUGGACAAUGGGCGAAAGCCUGAUCCAGCAAUGCCGCGUGUGUGAUGAAGGCCUUCGGGUUGUAAAGCACUUUUGGCGGGAACGAAAAGGACUGUGCCAAUACCACGGUUCGAUGACGGUACCCGCAGAAUAAGCACCGGCUAACUACGUG